rnacentral:rRNA from 1 species
UACGUAGGGCGCAAGCGUUGUCCGGAAUUAUUGGGCGUAAAGAGCUCGUAGGCGGCUUGUCACGUCGGGUGUGAAAGACCGGGGCUUAACCCCGGUUCUGCAUUCGAUACGGGCUGGCUAGAGUGUGGUAGGGGAGAUCGGAAUUCCUGGUGUAGCGGUGAAAUGCGCAGAUAUCAGGAAGAACACCAAUGGCGAAAGCAGCUUUCUGGGACGGUACUGACGCUGAGACGCGAAAGCGUGGGGAGCGAACAGG